rnacentral:sRNA from 1 species
AGCAGGCGCCAUGUCAGCCCGGGAAGUGGCCGUGCUGCUGUUGUGGCUGAGCUGCUGUGGCUCCGCCCUUUGGAGGUAGAGAGACGCCAGUCGCAGGUAUUCCACUAACAGCCCAAACUAUCGCAUUUUUAGUACCAGAAGUACUAUUAAGUUAGAGUAUGAAGGAACAUUAUUUACUGAGUGGAGUGUGCCAGAAACUUGUUUUGUGCUAAAUAAAAGCUCACCCACGACAGAAUUGCGUUGUUCCUCACCUGGUGUUCACGCUAUAAAACCAAUUGUUACUGGCCCAGAUGAAGAAGAACGCUAUUUAUUUGUGGAAAGUUCUCAUACUUGCUUUCUGUGGUACUAUAGAGCUAGACAUUUCCUUAACAACUUGACCCAGCUUAUCACUGUGUGGGCAUAUGAUCCAGAAAGUGCAGAUCCUGAUGAGUUGCUGGGGAAUGCAGAAGAACCUUCAAUAAAUUCUCUUAUCACAGCUGUCUCAUGAAAGAUACAUACUCUCCUCUGGAUGAAUUCCAUAGUACUCAGCACACAGAUGGCCACAUUGGGACAGAAGCCUGUCAUACAUACAAUUCUGAAGAGAAAAGUUUAUUCUUCAAAUGAGAAAAUGAGAAGGGGGACCUGGCGUAUUGUAGUACCAAUGGCAAAAGAUGAUGCACUAAAGGAGAUUAGAGGAAACCAAGUUACUUUUCAGGAUUGCUUUAUUGCAGAUUUUCUUAUUCUGUUGACUUUUCCUUUGUUGACCAUACCUGAAAUUCCUGG